rnacentral:rRNA from 1 species
UACGUAGGUGGCAAGCGUUGUCCGGAAUUAUUGGGCGUAAAGCGCGCGCAGGCGGCCCUUUAAGUCUGAUGUGAAAGCCCACGGCUCAACCGUGGAGGGUCAUUGGAAACUGGGGGACUUGAGUACAGAAGAGGAAAGCGGAAUUCCACGUGUAGCGGUGAAAUGCGUAGAGAUGUGGAGGAACACCAGUGGCGAAGGCGGCUUUCUGGUCUGUAACUGACGCUGAGGCGCGAAAGCGUGGGGAGCAAACAGG